UAGAGUUUGAUCCAUGGCUCAGGACGAACGCUGGCGGCGUGCCUAACACAUGCAAGUCUACGAGAAAGGGGUAGCAAUAUCCCGAGUACAGUGGCGCACGGGUGAGUAACGCGUAGGCAAUCUUCCUUUAGGACGGGGACAACUCCGAGAAAUCGGGGCUAAUACCCGAUAAUGCAGCGGCACCGCAUGGUGAUGUUGUCAAAGGCCGAAAGGCGCCUAUGGAUGAGCCUGCGUCCCAUUAGGUAGUUGGCGGGGUAACGGCCCACCAAGCCGACGAUGGGUAGCUGGUCUGAGAGGAUGAUCAGCCACACUGGAACUGAGACACGGUCCAGACUCCUACGGGAGGCAGCAGUGAAGAAUAUUGCGCAAUGGCCGAAAGGCUGACGCAGCGACGCCGCGUGGAGGAUGAAGUCCGUUAGGACGUAAACUCCUUUUGUAGAGGAUGAAUGCGUUGCUACAUGCAACGU
rnacentral:rRNA from 1 species